AGAACAAAAUCCCUGUAGAAAACCUUUAAUCUACAGGGAUUUUGUUCAGGAACCUCCGAGGAGGUUCCUUCAUGGGAGAGGAGAAACCGGACGAAGAGCUUAUGGGGAAACGUAAGUCUUCUCCGCGG
rfam:Paenibacillus uliginis N3/975 genome assembly, chromosome: I